rnacentral:rRNA from 1 species
AGCUCCAAUAGCGUAUAUUAAAGUUGUUGCAGUUAAAAAGCUCGUAGUUGGAUUUCUGGUAGAAGGUUAGAGCGCACCUGCGUGAUGCUCGCGUCUUCUGCCAUCCUUCUGUUAACCUAUCAUGGCCUUGAUUGGUCGGUUAGGGGCUCAGAUAUUUUACCUUGAGAAAAUUAGAGUGUUUCAGGCAGGCUUGUGCCCGGAUACAUUAGCAUGGAAUAAUAGAAUAGGACUUUUGCCUCUUCUGUUGGUCUGAGGGGUUGAAGUAAUGAUUAAUAGGGAUAGUUGGGGGCAUUAGUACUUAACUGUCAGAGGUGAAAUUCUCGGAUUUGUUAAAGACUAACUUAUGCGAAAGCAUUUGCCAAGGAUGUUUUCAUUA